rnacentral:lncRNA from 7 species
CAACGUGGGGGCGUGGAGGCGGACAGACGUGCUCCAGAGGAAUAGGUCGCGAGCGGCGGGCUCCGGGAGGCGCGCGAAGACGGCGGGACGGACGCAAGGGCGAGGAGGAGGAGGUUGGAGAGCCGCAGCGGGGAGCCGGCGAGGACGCGAGAUGGCCCGAAAUGAGGAGGUGGGCGUGGCACAGGAACGCAGGGGGCGGAGCUGCACGCGCGGAGGC